GUGGCCGUAGCUCAAUUGGUAGAGCAACAGGUUGUGGUCCUGUAGGUCGCGGGUUCGAUUCCCGUCGGUCACCCCA
rnacentral:tRNA from 3 species